AAUACAGGAUGUCUAUUUAAAUUUCAUUUUCAUAUAGACAAUAAUUUUUUUAGUAAGAGUAUGUCCCAUGCAAUAUUUGGGACAUAAUUAUACUAAAAAGUUAUUUGGUAUUUAUAUGAAAUUCAAGUUUCACAGAGUAUCUUGUAUUUU
rnacentral:miRNA from 1 species